CCCUUAGAUGUUCUGGGCCGCACGCGCGCUACACUGACGAAUGCAACGAGCUUAUAACCUUGGCCGAAAGGUCUGGGUAAUCUCCAAAUUUCGUCGUGAUGGGGAUAGAUUAUUGCAAUUAUUAAUCUUCAACGAGGAAUGCCUAGUAAGCGCAAGUCAUCAGCUUGCGUUGAUUACGUCCCUGCCCUUUGUACACACCGCCCGUCGCUCCUACCGAUUGAAUGGUUCGGUGAAAACUUUGGACUGUGGCAUUGUCCUUCAUUGGACUUCGCCGUAGGAAAUUGUUUAAACCUCAUCAUUUAGAGGAAGAAUAAGUCGUAACA
rnacentral:rRNA from 1 species